AUACGUAGGGGGCGAGCGUUAUCCGGAUUUAUUGGGCGUAAAGCGUGUGUAGGCGGUUUGUUAAGUUUAAGAUUAAAGCCCGAGGCUUAACCUCGGUUCGUCUUAAAAACUGGCAGACUUGAGUGCAGUAGAGGCAAGUGGAAUUUCUAGUGUAGCGGUUAAAUGCGUAGAUAUUAGAAGGAACACCAGUGGCGAAGGCGGCUUCCUGGGCUGGUACUGACGCUGAGCCACAAAAGCGUGGGGAGCAAAUAGGAUUAGAGACCCUAGUAGUCCACGCCGUAAACGAUGAGUACUAAGUGUCGGGUAACCGGUGCUGAAGUUAACACAUUAAGUACUCCGCCUGAGUAGUACGGUCGCAAGGCUGAAACUCAAAUGAAUUGACGGGG
rnacentral:rRNA from 1 species